GAUGGGAUGGUAGGGACAGAAACUGCAGGGUCCGCAGAAGGAACUGCUCACCGAAAGCCAACAAGCUUGCCCUGUGGAAUCCCAGAAAGGCCCAGGAACUUCGGGACAUCACUGAAGGCAGAGUGAAGAGAGGAAGAGAAGACAGAGAAAUGGAGGGGAGAAAACUAUUAAAAUAAGUAAUAAGAAAACUUUCCCCAGAAGUGCAGAAUCUGAAUUUCCAGUAUAAAAGGGUCCAUUGAGCGCCAAGAACAAUGAAGGAAAAAAGGUCCCACUCAGGCCUACGUAUCAUUGUGAAAUUUCAGAACUAGAGGGAUAAAGAAAAGAUCCUAAAAGCUUCCCGAGAGAUAAAAAAGAAGAUUUUUACAAAGGAUCAGCAAUCAGAAUUGCCUCAGACUGCUCAAUAAAAACAUCAGAAGCUAGAAGAAAAUAGAAUGAGGCAUCAAAAUCCUGAGGGAAAUGAUUCCCACCUAUAAUUUCAUAUUCUGCUCAAUUAUCAAUUGAGUAUUGAAGGGAAAUAAAGACAUUUUUAGACAUGC
rnacentral:lncRNA from 1 species